rnacentral:rRNA from 1 species
UGGAGGGGGAUAACUACUGGAAACGGUAGCUAAUACCGCAUAAUGUCGCAAGACCAAAGAGGGGGACCUUCGGGCCUCUUGCCAUCGGAUGUGCCCAGAUGGGAUUAGCUUGUUGGUGGGGUAACGGCUCACCAAGGCGACGAUCCCUAGCUGGUCUGAGAGGAUGACCAGCCACACUGGAACUGAGACACGGUCCAGACUCCUACGGGAGGCAGCAGUGGGGAAUAUUGCACAAUGGGCGCAAGCCUGAUGCAGCCAUGC